rnacentral:rRNA from 1 species
UACAGAGGGUGCAAGCGUUGUCCGGAUUUAUUGGGCGUAAAGAGCGUGUAGGCGGCCAGGUAGGUCUGGUGUGAAAACUCGAGGCUCAACCUCGAGAGGUCAUCGGAAACCAUCUGGCUAGAGUCCGGAAGAGGAGAGUGGAAUUCCCGGUGUAGCGGUGAAAUGCGCAGAUAUCGGGAAGAACACCUAUGGCGAAGGCAGCUCUCUGGGACGGUACUGACGCUGAGACGCGAAAGCGUGGGGAGCGAACAGG